CUUUUUCGGCUAAGAUCAUGUCUAAGGCCAGUCUGUUCUGGAAGGUCAUUUGGGAUGUGGCCUGUAAUUGCUCGGCCAAGCCCUGGAGGGCAUCCCUGGUGUAGUUGACAAAACGCUGUUGGUUGUAAUAGAUAUAAUUAAUCCAAUUAAGGUUUUUGUUGGCAGUGACUAUGGUAAAAAGUGAUUCAAAACCUGCAGCUACUUCAUCUCUAGCUUUAAAUUCAUUAGGUACCCCCCUAGGCACCCCAAUGGCAUCUAUGUAAAUGUGGGGGUCAAAACUGCCUUUUAC